UCCUCGGCUCCAGCCUCCGCCGGCGGAGCCCACUAUGCCAGACAGUUUCGACACUUUGCAAAGACAAAGAGCCCUAGACCGGAGGGAGGAGGAGGAGGAAGAAGAGCGGAGAGAGAAGGAAGAGGCGAUGUGAGCUGGGAAGGGGGCAAGUGUCCGGGACACCCACACCCCUGUAUUCUCCUCCGAACCCCUUCAUGCCCAAAUCCCGGAAACUCCAGCGUGUCUCCAGCCGUGUUGGUACCAUUUUCAGAUUUCAUCUUCCUAAACUGGAAAUGUCAAUGAGAGGAAAUUAACACCCCCAAGAGCUGCAGUGAGCAAAUGCAUUGAGCUUGGGUCAGGACAAUUCCAUUUGGGGACCAGAGAUGGACGGUCACUCAGCCUAUGGAGAGAUGGUGUUUUGCUGUGCCACUCAGGCUGGUCUGGAACUACUGGGCUCAAGCAAUUCCCCAGCCUCAGCCUCCUAAAGCGUUGGGAUUUCAGAUGAAGAAACUGAGGUUCAGAGAGGUUAAGAGACUCCACUGAGGUCACACAGCCGAUGACAGACAACCUUCUGUGCCUUCAUCAAGCUGGUUGUGUACCCACCAUGUCCCUGGCGACAGGAUGGGAAAGAAAA
rnacentral:lncRNA from 1 species